rnacentral:rRNA from 1 species
UACGUAGGGCGCAAGCGUUAUCCGGAAUUAUUGGGCGUAAAGAGCUCGUAGGCGGUCUGUCACGUCGGCUGUGAAAUCCCGAGGCUCAACCUCGGGUCUGCAGUCGAUACGGGCAAACUAGAGUAUUGCAGGGGAGACUGGAAUUCCUGGUGUAGCGGUGAAAUGCGCAGAUAUCAGGAGGAACACCCGUGGCGAAAGCGGCUCUCUGGAACGGUACUGACGCUGAGACGCGAAAGCGUGGGGAGCGAACAGG